CCAGGUCCUGGUCCUGGUCCAGGUCUGGUCUGUGGGUCCGGUGGGUGCUGCGGAGGCUGGGUCAUUAAAAUGGUUUCUGGGAGGAGCGGAGCCACAUCAAAGGUCCCACCGCUGAAUGGACCUCAGAGAGCAGAGGGCUGCAACUACACCACCCUGUUGGGUGGAGUCCGGCUGUAGGUGUAGCUCCGGUCUGUUGGGUGGUGUCAGGCUGUAGGUGUAGCUCCACUCUGUUGGGUGGUGUCAGGCUGUAGGUGUAGCUCCACUCUGUUGGGUGGAGUCAGGCUGUAGGUGUAGCUCCGGUCUGUUGGGUGGUGUCAGGCUGUAGGUGUAGCUCCAAUCUGUUGGGUGGUGUCAGGCUGUAGGUGUAGCUCCACUCUGUUGGG
ensembl:lncRNA